CCAGCUUUUGCGACGUUCAGUUACCAAUUGAGUUUUACUCUACACCAUGUUGUGCGACCCAGUGUUUAGUAGUGGCUUCGUUAGAAGAGAAUUUA
rnacentral:sRNA from 1 species